rnacentral:rRNA from 1 species
UAUUACUGAGUCGUUGACACGAGUUGUUGCUGGUCCUCGAAAGGGGACACGUGCACGCUCUGUUUACACAUCCACUCACACCUGUGCACCCUCUGUAGUUCUACGGUCUGGGGGGCUCUGCCUCCCUUCUGUGGUUCUGCAUCUUUACACACACGCUGUAACAAAGUCUUAUGGAAUGCGCACCGCGUUUAACGCAAUACAAUACAACUUUCAGCAACGGAUCUCUUGGCUCUCGCAUCGAUGAAGAACGCAGCGAAAUGCGAUAAGUAAUGUGAAUUGCAGAAUUCAGUGAAUCAUCGAAUCUUUGAACGCACCUUGCGCCCUUUGGCCAUUCCGAAGGGCAUGCCUGUUUGAGUAUCAUGAACACCUCAACUCUCAUGGUUCGCCACGAUGAGCUUGGACUUUGGGGGCUUUGCUGGCCUACGGUCGGCUCCUCUCAAAUGAAUCAGCUUGCCAGUGUUUGGUGGCAUCACGGGUGUGAUAACUAUCUACGCUUGCGAUUGUCCACCAGGUAACCUCCAGCAGUGGAGGUUCGCUGGGGCUCAUAGACGUCUCUCCUCGGUGAGGACAGCUUUUUUAACGUUCGAUCUCAAAUCAGGUAGGACUACCCGCUGAACUUAAGCAUAUCAUAANCC